rnacentral:lncRNA from 1 species
CUCUGUAGGGUGGCUCUAUGGGGUGGGUUCUGUAGGGUGGCUCUGUAGGGCGGCUCUAUGGGGUGGCGGAUUGUUCCCUAUUGUCUUGCUUGGAUCUGUGGGGUCUUGUAGGAUCUGUGGGGUCAGAUCUGUGGGGUCAGAUCUAUGGGGUCGGAUCUGUGGGGCUCAUUGAGAUCUAUGGGGUCAGAUCUAUGGGGUCAGAUCUGUGGGGUCAGAUCUAUGGGGUCGGGUCUGU